rnacentral:rRNA from 1 species
AUGCUCGUCGUCCUCUGGGAAGGCGAGUGGGGUAUCCGGGCAGGCGACGCCCUUGCUCCUAUCGUCAUCGGCCGCGCGCUUCUUGGUCGGUGGCACCGCUGGGACCAGCCACGCCUGCUACUUCAGCUGCUAGCGGCGGUGACGGUUGCUUGCCCACACGAUGGACGGCAGGUCCACGAGAAUGGUGGCCACCUGCAGCUCGCGCUCCCUGAACACCUCCUCCCGCGCGCGUCCACUUUCAGCCGCUUCGGCCGCCUUGGAUCUCGACGAGCGAGCGAGGGAUUGGGUGGAGUUCUGCGGGUGAUGGCGAGAGCAGGGGAAGAGGCGAAGGAUUGUUUUGGUUGUUUUUGUUUAAUAGAGGGUUUUUUGUAA